CCUACGGGUGGCUGCAGUGGGGAAUAUUGGACAAUGGGCGAAAGCCUGAUCCAGCCAUGCCGCGUGUGUGAAGAAGGCCUUCGGGUUGUAAAGCACUUUCAGUGGGGAAGAAAGCCUUGGGGCUAAUACCCUCGAGGAAGGACAUCACCCACAGAAGAAGCACCGGCUAACUCCGUGCCAGCAGCCGCGGUAAUACGGAGGGUGCGAGCGUUAAUCGGAAUUACUGGGCGUAAAGCGCGCGUAGGCGGUCUGAUAAGCCGGUUGUGAAAGCCCCGGGCUCAACCUGGGAACGGCAUCCGGAACUGUCAGGCUAGAGUGCAGGAGAGGAAGGUAGAAUUCCCGGUGUAGCGGUGAAAUGCGUAGAGAUCGGGAGGAAUACCAGUGGCGAAGGCGGCCUUCUGGACUGACACUGACGCUGAGGUGCGAAAGCGUGGGUAGCAAACAGGAUUAGAACCCUGGUAGUC
rnacentral:rRNA from 1 species